rnacentral:misc_RNA from 1 species
UUGGAACAUUGCUAACACAAGGGUUGCUGGCAAUACACAAGAAAAAUGACUUGAUAGAAGAAAGAAGAAAAUGAUAGUUACAACAUAUAAUAUAUAAGUGGUCUCUUAAACAAAUAAAUAAAGUUGGGGUCUGAGAUAAACUGGCGUGCUGGACUAGUGUCAACUACUCUCCACUUCCUGCAAUCUUUUUCUUCAACGUCUCAAUAUCUGCAGCUAACUCUUUCCUGCUAGACUUGAAGAGCAAAUAGCGAUACACAAACCAACCAGUGUACCCAAGUCCGACCAGCUCCAUAAUCUUCGGCAGCAGCGGAACGGAAUUGAUGGCCCCGACAAUUAUCGAAGACAACCAAACCGCAAUAAUCGCUCCCCCGCCAUAGAUAAACACCGUCGAUUUGUUCUCCAAACUAUCCCACUUCUCCUUGAGAUCAGCCAGCAGCUCAUCGGUCUGGAUGGAGCUCGAUGUCUCCUCCGAUGAGGCUCUCACUAAGAAAGCCGAGGAGCGGUGUGGAUCUGCGGCGGCGAGGGGGAGGGGGGAGCGGAGGACGGUGGAGAUUAGGGCGCAGAGAUCGUCGAGGAUUUGGGAGGUGUGGUCACCGCGGCCGCCGCCUCUCAUGUUUGGAUUACGGGGAUUGGAGAGCGG